UUCAGCUGGAAAAUCACCUACCGCCAGCACUACUGUAGCAGCAGCAGUAAGUCCUGGGACAGUAGUCUAACUAGCUUAGACGGAGUUGUGAUGGUUUUAAAUCUUUGGCCAUGUCUGAAAUGCUGUUGAAAGACAUGGAUGAGAUUUCUCUCGGGCCUGUUAAAAUGGACGAGCAGAAGGAAAAUGGACGGAGUUUUCUCCUGGUGGACGAAAACGAAAGCUUGCAGGUGAAAAAUGAAGCUCAUUUUCUGCAGAAGCUGGGCUGCAGUGGCGCUCAGGGAGUGAAAGUGGUUUCCAUCUUUGGCAACACGGGCGACGGCAAGUCCCACACUCUCAACCACGUCCUUUUUGACCGCGAGGAGGUUUUUGCCACGUCUCCCUCUCCAUCCUCCUGCACUGUGGGUGUCUGGGCUGCUUAUGACCCACAGCUGAACCUGAUUGUGCUGGACACUGAAGGCCUACUCGGGGCCGCCACUCAGCAGAAUCGCCGAAUGCGUCUGCUGCUCAAGGUCCUGGCCGUAUCAGACGUGGUCAUUUACCGCACACGGGCCGAGAGGCUGCACAAUGACAUGUUCCAGUUCCUCGGCAGUGCAUCCGCCGCUUACCUAAAGCACUUCACACCUGAGCUCCGGGCGCUGUCGAGCCGAUGUGGGCUAGACGUGCCUCUCUCCAGCCUUGGACCCGCCAUCAUUGUUUUCCAGGAGACGUCCCGCACUCAGCUGCUGGGCCAGGACGUCUCAGGCCUCGGGCAGGCAGACACGCUGCUGCAGAAGCGCUUUCAUGACCUGGGCCAGAGCACAGACGCCUUCAGUUCGGUUCAGUAUGUGGGCACACAGACCAUCACUCCCCCCACAGACUACUCACAGCUACAGCACACGGUCCAGCAGCAAGUCAGCAACACAUCUCAGAGAGCCCCGCGCCAGCCUGCCAUUGUGUUCAGUGCACUGCAGGCCCUGAGCGACAGGUUCUGCGGAGAGAUCUCAGAUGACAAAUUCAGCAUAUGCUCCUUCUUUCCUGAUGAAUAUUUCACUUGCCCAUCAGUCUGUCUCAGCUGCAAAGAAAACGUCCACUGAAGUUAAAGCGGUACACAGAACUCAUCUUAAAAAGAAAAAGCUGAGAAGAACAGAAGUGUGAUUCGGCUGUAAAACAGAUGAAGAUCAAAGACCAUUCCAUGUCAUGCAGGCAGGUUUCUUAGUCCACAAUUGACAGGCUUGUAGUUGCGUUUGUCUGUGAAAGCCCUUAUCUGUUUACCAUAGUUGAACUUCCAACACUCAAAAAUCUGAUACACACUAUGCAGCCUAGCUGUACAGUUAUGUCCAGACCAACUGUGAAGCUGAGAAUUUAGGAUGCAGCCAUUGCUGAGAUGGCAAAGGUCAGCCAUAUAGGUACCACUACUGAUUGCUGGACUGCUUGACAGUGGAGUUACAUCGGUGUAACCGCACACUGGAUUGAUGAGUCUACACUGGAAAAGAGGCCUGCUCCUUAUCAGAAGAACAACUGAUUGUGGGUCGAAUUUUAUUAAAGCUUUUAAGGUGUAUGGUAAAAAGAGUCAGGAAGAGUUGAUUGAUGUUGACUCGGAGCCAGUGACACUGGAGAGCAAAGAAGAUGGAGAAGUUGUUGAGGUUCAGUACACCUGUUCAAUCUUAAAAACAAACAACGGGUUAGAGUAUCAUCUACCAAGCAUCAGCAUUGCGCAUGUCAUCUUCUUAAUUUGGUAGCUACUGUGGAUGAUUUCAAAGCAGAGGAUUGAGAGGACAGCAGUGAGGUAUACAAGAAGCUUACACAUUCAACAUUUGCAAAAUGCCAGGCAUUAUACAAUAAAACCAGCAGGUCUGCCAUCAAUGCUGAGAUCGUCCAAGAAGAGUCAAAAAAUACAGUUCAUUCAGCCCAACAGCACAAGAACUUGGUGUACAAUUCUGCAGAGAGGAAAAUACGGAUCCUAAAGGAACAGGGAGAAGCAUCCCUUCCGAAUAUUUGUGCAUCAUUUAAAAUCAAAAUGCUAAAUCCUGCUGAAAUGUCUUACCUCUCUGAAUACUGCAUCGUGACGAAGCCUGUGUCCAUGGCUUUAAACAUUCUUCAGUCUGAAACAAACACUCAGAUGGGGUGGCUCCUUCCCACCAUCUACCUUCUUGAAUCCAAGCUCAAAAAGAUUGAGACUUCAGUCAAGGUAUGUUUUCCCUUAUUCAUGCUCUCCGGAAAGGUCUACAAAAGUGCUUCGGGGAGUUCAUGGAAGAUACAGAACUCAUCAGUGCUGCAAUUCUUCUUCCAAAAUUCAAAACGUCAUGGACAGACAAGACCUACAUCAUAAAAGCAGGUAUGGACUACAUCCUUCACCAUCUUGAUUCCAUUAAGUGCACCCAUCCAAAUGAAGCACAACUUGAUGUUUCUGACGAGGAUUACUUUUUUUCUUCCAUUAAGACUGUUCCAUCCCCAACUGAAUCUGAAUUGGAUGGGUACUCGGCUUGUGCCUCAGAAGAGAUGGGAUUGCUUUACUCAUUUCCUUUGGUGAAAAAACUAAGCCUCAAACACACCCCUGCCUGCUUCUGCAGCAUGCAAGCAUCUUUUUAGUUGUGCUGGGCAACUGUUUACAACAAAACGAGCAAGACUGGACAGUACAAAUUUUGAGAACCAGUUCAUUGUGAAAUUUAACAACACGUUUAAAAUUUAGUUGUUGUUUUUUUCCCCCCUACACUUAAAAUUGCAAGUCUACAUUCAUAUUGUGGGGGUCGGUUAACCCAUGUUGUAUUCAUUUGUUUAAUUUCCUAAUUUGUGCUACAGGCUCAACUUUUAUGUUUAUGUACAAUUCUUUUCAACAUUUUAUUUAUUUAUUUUUUUAAAUUGGCCUGCAAGAAUAUUUUUGUAGAAAGGUUAUCAUAACUGAUUAUAGGCUGCUUAUUGUUAUUAUUGAUAUUUUAAAACAUAACAUGCCAGGAUGUUCAGUGCUCGCAGUCAUAAAUAAAACUGUUGGGG